CGGGUGCACUGAUCCAGCCGGGCCUUUCCCUCUGUGGAACCCCAUGGCCUUCACUGGCUGUGGUGGGGAAACAGGACUUUUACUUUGAAAAAAUUAGAGUGCUCCAGGCAGGCCUAUGCUCGAAUACAUUAGCAUGGAAUAAUAGAAUAGGACGUGUGGUUCUAUUUUGUUGGUUUCUAGGACCGCCGUAAUGAUUAAUAGGGGACAGUCGGGGGCAUCAGUAUUCAAUUGUCAGAGGGUGAGAUUCUUGGAUCUAUUGAAGACUAACUACUGCGAAAGCAUUUGCCAAGGAUGUUUUCAUUGAUAAGGAACGAAAGUUAGGGGAUCGAAGACGAUCAGAUACCGUCGUAGUCUUAACUAUAAACUAUGCCGACUAGGGAUCGGACGAUGUUAUUCUUUGACGCGUUCGGCACCUUUCGAGAAAUCAAAGUGCUUGGGCUCCAGGGGGAGUAUGGUCGCAAGGCUGAAACUUAAAGAAAUUGACGGAAGGGCACCACCAGGGGUGGAACCUGCGGCUUAAUUUGACUCAACACGGGGAAACUCACCAGGUCCAGACACAGUGAGGAUUGACAGAUUGAGAGCUCUUUCUUGAUUCUGUGGGUGGUGGUGCAUGGCCGUUCUUAGUUGGUGGAGUGAUUUGUCUGCUUAAUUGCGAUAACGAACGAGACCUUAACCUGCUAAAUAGCCCGUACUGCUUUGGCAGUUCGCCGGCUUCUUAGAGGGACUAUCGG
rnacentral:rRNA from 1 species